GCCUGGGUGGCUUAGUCGGUUAAGCGUCCGACUUUUGCUUGGGUCGUGGGUUCGAGUCCCGCGUCGGGCU